ACUCCUACGGGAGGCAGCAGUGGGGAAUAUUGCACAAUGGGGGAAACCCUGAUGCAGCCAUGCCGCGUGUGUGAAGAAGGCCUUGGGUUGUAAAGCACUUUCAGUAGGGAGGAAGGUAGUGUAGUUAACACCUGCAUUAUUUGACGUUACCUACAGAAGAAGCACCGGCUAACUCCGUGCCAGCAGCCGCGGUAAUACGGAGGGUGCGAGCGUUAAUCGGAAUUACUGGGCGUAAAGCGCAUGCAGGCGGCCUGUUAAGUCAGAUGUGAAAGCCCGGGGCUUAACCUCGGAAUAGCAUUUGAAACUGGCAGACUAGAGUACUGUAGAGGGGUUAGAAUUUCAGGUGUAGCGGUGAAAUGCGUAGAGAUCUGAAGGAAUACCAGUGGCGAAGGCGGCCCCUGGACAAAGACUGACGCUCAGAUGCGAAAGCGUGGGAGCAAACAGGAUUAGAUACCCCUGGUAGACUGUCA
rnacentral:rRNA from 1 species